rnacentral:misc_RNA from 1 species
GCUUAAACAUUGGGUGAGAGUGGGAUUUACUCUCAGCUUUCUCUCUAGGUAUUAGAGGAUGUAUUGCUUCAGUGGGUGGCUUAAGCACUAGGUGGAGAUGGUGGAGCUUUUAUUUUAUGUGAGGGGUAUACAAAUUAUUGUGAGAGAUAUUGAGUGGAGAGUACUUAAAGGGAUUUUUACAAUAUUUGUAUGUAUUAUUAUUCUCACAUAGUGGAAAAGACAAUUUAUUGCU